GACGAACGCUGGCGGCGUGCUUAACACAUGCAAGUCGAACGGAAAGGCCUCAGCUUGCUGGGGUACUCGAGUGGCGAACGGGUGAGUAACACGUGGGUGAUCUGCCUUGCACUCUGGGAUAAGCUUGGGAAACUGGGUCUAAUACCGGAUAUGAACUGCCUUUAGUGUGGUGGUUGGAAAGUUUUUUCGGUGCAAGAUGAGCUCGCGGCCUAUCAGCUUGUUGGUGGGGUAAUGGCCUACCAAGGCGUCGACGGGUAGCCGGCCUGAGAGGGUGUACGGCCACAUUGGGACUGAGAGACGGCCCAGACGCCUACGGGAGGAAGCAGUGGGGAAGAUUGCACAAUGGGCGGAAGCCUGAUGCAGCGACGCCGCGUGGGGGAUGACGGCCUUCGGGUUGUAAACUCCUUUCGACAGGGACGAAGCUUUUUGUGACGGUACCUGUAUAAGAAGCACCGGCUAACUACGUG
rnacentral:rRNA from 1 species